rnacentral:lncRNA from 1 species
CAAAUUCUGCACACACUUUAAAGCAAAGAAAUGAUAUUUUUCACUCCACGCCAAUCAGCAGUGAGCUCAUUUUCUUAUACAAAAUGGAAUAUGAAUGAUACAUGAAUAAAGAGUGUAUACAAAUAUUUUCAUCACUGUAUAUAACUGCACAAAGAGGAAACCUGUGGAUUCUAUCUGUCCCCAUAUUCUGAAUAUUGUACAACCCUAUCUCGCUUCGGAGACCUGUUCAACAUUACUGAGAAUUAGAAACUGGUAAUAACAUUGGCUAAUCACUCGACACAUUAUUUACAAUUUCUGUCUGGUCACAAUUCCUCUUAUCAUGUCUGUUUCCCCACUAAUAAUAACUGUUACCUAUCUUCUUAAAUGGUUGAAGACCAACAAAGGAACAUGUUCUUGGAUCUUAAUUAUAGCUCAGCUUUUUUUUUUGAACUCUCGUAGCAAAAAUGGUGUUGUUUUGGGCCACAUGUUGCGGCGAUGACUCCAAAAUAUUGCCCAAGGAUUUUAUUGCUUAGGUUUAGGAGCUCCGAGUGCCUAUACGGCUAUCUAGACAUUGUCGGGCUCAAGCCACUCAACCUUUUACCAGAAGGAGGAUAGUAUUAAGCAAGGGAAGAAUCACAACAAGUUUCCAGCAUGUAGGUGUGUAAACACAAAUUUUUGUAUUUCAAUUUGAUAAAAUACAAAAAAAACGCGUUACAAAGAUAAUUUGAUAGAUUUGAAGAUAGAUUUAUGCGGGUUGCAAUCUCUAGUUAAUCCUCUGAUUCUUCUCUUCCAUUUGAUUCUUGAACAAGCUCGAAGGUUCUUGAAAUACUUGAUUUGAUGACGCCAAUCCAAGGGACUUAAGUCAUGAUUUUGGAUUGAACGUUGAACUUGAUUUGAUUUGAUUUGAUUUGAAGAACGUCCUUAGAAUUUGUAAGAACGCCUUGAAGCUUUGGGAUUUGGUUGAUUUGAUUUGAGGAAGAUCGUUCUUGGAAUUUGUAAGAACGCCUUGAUCACUUGAAGAUUUGAAGGUUUGAUCACUUGAAGAUACUUGAAGAAUACUUGAAGAUUUGAAUGCUCAAAUACUUGAAGAUUCGAAGAAGACUUGAACGCUUGAAGAUUUCGAAGGAUACUUGAAGAUUUGAAUGCUCAAAUACUUGAAGAUUCGAAGAAGACUUGAACGCUAGAUAGAAUUCUUCAAGAUACUUGAAUACUUGGAAGAAUACUUGAACUCUCCAAUUCUUCGCCUCUUUCAACUUGCGAUACUAGAGAGAAUUCUUUAUACUCUUCGAUCUUCCGUUCCUUCACGUCGUGAUAAUGAGCACCCCAACACCUCUAUUUAUAGAUUUUAGAGAUGAGCUUUGGGCCUUCAUGCAUGGGCCUUAGGGCUUUAGGUGUCCAUAAGCCCAUUAAUUCAUUUAUAUUAAAUAUUAAUUAUAUAUCUAUUUAAUUUAGGAAUAAAAUCCAUUUAAUAAAAUAGAAAAUAUAAUUGAAUAUUUAAUUCAUGAAUUUACACG